GAUGAACGCUGGCGGCGUGCCUAAUACAUGCAAGUCGAGCGAACGGACGAGAAGCUUGCUUUUCUGAUGUUAGCGGCGGACGGGUGAGUAACACGUGGAUAACCUACCUAUAAGACUGGGAUAACUUCGGGAAACCGGAGCUAAUACCGGAUAAUAUUUUGAACCGCAUGGUUCAAAAGUGAAAGACGGUCUUGCUGUCACUUAUAGAUGGAUCCGCGCUGCAUUAGCUAGUUGGUAAGGUAACGGCUUACCAAGGCAACGAUGCAUAGCCGACCUGAGAGAGUGAUCGGCCUCACUGGAACUGAGACACGGUCCAGACUCCUACGGGAGGCAGCAGUAGGGAAUCUUCCGCAAUGGGCGAAAGCCUGACGGAGCAACGCCGCGUGAGUGAUGAAGGUCUUCGGAUCGUAAAACUCUGUUAUUAGGGAAGAACAUAUGUGUAAGUAACUGUGCACAUCUUGACGGUACCUAAUCAGAAAGCCACGGCUAACUACGUG
rnacentral:rRNA from 1 species